rnacentral:rRNA from 1 species
GACCCCCUACGGACGCAGCAGUCGGGAAUAUUGCGCAAUGGAGGAAACUCUGACGCAGUGACGCCGCGUAUAGGAAGAAGGUUUUCGGAUUGUAAACUAUUGUCGUGAGGGAAGAAAUUGACAGUACCUCAGGAGGAAGCUCCGGCUAACUAUGUGCCAGCAGCCGCGGUAAUACAUAGGGAGCAAGCGUUAUCCGGAUUUAUUGGGUGUAAAGGGUGCGUAGACGGGAAAUUAAGUUAGUUGUGAAAUCCCUCGGCUUAACUGAGGAACUGCAACUAAAACUGAUCUUCUUGAGUACUGGAGAG